UACGUAGGGACCGACGCGUUGUUUCGGAUUCAUUGGGCGUAAAGGGUGCGCAGGCGGUUUGCUAAGUUUGAUGUGAAAGCCCGGGGCUCAACCCUGGAAUUGCAUUGAAUACUGGCGGACUAGAGUACUGGAGAGGAAACUGGAAUUUACGGUGUAGCAGUGAAAUGCGUAGAGAUCGUAAGGAAGACCAGUGGCGAAGGCGAGUUUCUGGACAGUUACUGACGCUGAGGCACGAAGGCCAGGGGGAGCAAACGGGG
rnacentral:rRNA from 1 species